rnacentral:rRNA from 1 species
UACCGGAUGUGCCGAAAGGUGAAAGAUUUAUUGCCUGAAGAUGAGCUCGCGUCUGUUUAGCUAGUAGGUGUGGUAAGAGCGCACCUAGGCGACGAUCAGUAGCUGGUCUGAAAGGCUGAUCAGCCACACUGGGACUGAGACACGGCCCAAACUCCUACGGGAGGCAGCAGUGGGGAAUUUUCCGCAAUGGGCGAAAGCCUGACGGAGCAAUACCGCGUGAGGGAGGAAGGCUCUUGGGUUGUAAACCUCUUUUCUCAGGG